rnacentral:rRNA from 1 species
AUUGAACGCUGGCGGCAUGCCUUACACAUGCAAGUCGAACGGCAGCACGGGUGCUUGCACCUGGUGGCGAGUGGCGAACGGGUGAGUAAUACAUCGGAACGUACCUUAUCGUGGGGGAUAACGCAGCGAAAGCUGUGCUAAUACCGCAUACGCCCUGAGGGGGAAAGCGGGGGAUCGCAAGACCUCGCGCGAUUAGAGCGGCCGAUGCCUGAUUAGCUAGUUGGUGGGGUCAAAGCCCACCAAGGCGACGAUCAGUAGCUGGUCUGAGAGGACAAUCAGCAACACUGGGAAUGGGACACGGCCCAGACUCCUACGGGAGGCAGGAGUGGGGAAUGUUGGACAAUGUGGGCAACCCUGAUCCAGCAAUGCCGCGUGAGUGAAGAAGGCCUUCGGGUUGUAAAGCUCUUUUGUCAGGGAAGAGACACCGGCUCUAACACAGUCCGGGAAUGACGGUACCUGAAGAAUAAGCACCGGCUAACUACGUGCCAGCCGCCGCGGUAA